UGCAGCAUCAUGGUAGGCUACUUGUUAAAUAAUUAUAUUAUUAUUUAUUAAUAAUAAUAAUAAAGAAAAAAUAAUACAAUCGGUGAUAAAGUUUUCUCCUAGACAAACAAAAACCAUGUAAAUCUAAAUGAAAAACCACAUAUUCAGUAUUUUUAUUAUGCUGAAACGCUUUGAACCAGAAUUUUUUUCUUUUUUCUUUUUUUUCUGUCGCUAUCGACCAGACAUUAUAUUAGAAUGCGUGACGUCACAGAGAACUCUGCUCAGGCUUUAUUGAACGCAGUUUGCAGUGUGUGUGGUCAUUCUACGGUGAGCCUCAGAACAGUAAGGUUGACAAAACUCAGGGAGACACUGCAAGGGAGGGAGCCGGCUUACGCGGCUGAGACGCUGCGCGGCGGAGGACCCGUCAAGCGACGACUGCCGCCUGCGGACCCCUCGCCCUGCCAGGACCCAGUGAUGACGCCGAAGAUGCCACAGCACGCCGGAGCCGGCUUACACGGCUGAGACGCUGCGCGGCGGAGGACCCGACAAGCGACGACUGCCGCCUGCGGACCCCUCGCCUGCCAGGACCCAGUGAUGACGCCGAAGACGCCACAGCACGCCGGAGCCGGCUUACACGGCUGAGACGCUGCGCGGCGGAGGACCCGACAAGCGACGACUGCCGCCUGUGGAUCCCUCGCCUGCCAGGACCCAGUGAUGACGCCGAAGACGCCACAGCACGCC